ACUGCAAAUGGAGGAGGAUUGACGAGAUUUGUGUGUGUGUGUGUGUGUUAGAGAGCAGAAAGAAAGGAUCGGUUGUUUAAUCAGUCACGUGGGAGUAAUAACUCUUAGCAAGUGGUGGUGGUGGUUUAAAGCGAAAUAUAUUGGGCUUGUAUCUUUAACGAUGGCUGCAGAGGAGAUGGAGGAGAAGAAGGCUGUUUUGCACUGCUGCUGCUGCUGCUGCUACUCCUUUUCUUGACGCAAUUGCACGGACACUUUUCGCUUCCUCGUUCCCGCUUUGGUGGCGAUAAUGGGGAGCUAAUUUUUCACACUUGACACAAACACACACACGCACACAUACCCAUUCCACAGCGAGAGCGAGAGGCCAGGAGUGAAAGGAUUUCGUUUUUUCUUCUUUUUUCUUCUAUUUUGCUAGUUACUUAGCUUCGGUGCGGACCUGAGUUCGAUACCGACUUUCUUCGAGCGCCCCUACGCGUUUCGCGUUCGCAGCAGAAAAAGACACUCCCGAAACCACAACUCGGCCCCAAAUGGUUGCUUCGAUGGGAGCAGCAGUAGCACCAGCAGCAGAAUGGGAAGUUUUGUUCUCACACACACGCAAACCCUAUCCCUCUCCCCAUGGCAUCCGACGACCACGACAAGUAGCACUUUCGAUUCUGGUGCCCCUCGAUUUCUAUUACCUCGUUCGGUAUGUGUCGAACUGGCUGAAAAAAAAGAAACUAUUCCUCCGCUUCCUCGCGUUCGCGUUCCGCUUUUCACGGUUUGUUCUCGGUUUCGUCUCCGUUGCAGCUGAGCUUACGCAAAAAAAAACGGGAUCGCGGAACGAGCCAACAGGGCGCUGCGUUUUCCAAAGAACUACGAAUGUGUCGGGCGAGAGACUUCAGUGGAAAACAACAAAAAGUAGUUUUGUUCUUCGUUGCAGUCACCCCGUCGUACGGUGGGAGCGACCCCGUGGCCAUGGCGCGUGAAAUGUGCAGGUGACAGGUUGGGAGGGAAGAAUUAUUGGCAGGGAGCGAAACAAUGGACAAAUAAAUUUAAAGUAAAUAAUUUAAAAAAAAGAUAAUUAUCCCAGGAAUUUCGCAACCAUUUUAGUGCUGAAAAUAAUUAAUAAAACAAAAAAUGCAAAAUUUAGCACACUGCUUGACGCAUGUCAAAUGGUCGACAUUCGCAGGUUGGUCGACUUUGAAAGGUUCGGCCAGCUUCGGCUCCUCUUCGGCUUCCCUGCCUGCCGGAUUCAUGUAUUGUUCAUGACAAAUCUUUCCGUGAAUGUUCUUUUCUCUUGCACCUUCGACCGAGAAGGACGUUUUCAAUAAUUUCAUUCCGGAAUUUGCUAAGUUGUUGUUAUAAAAGUUAAUCAAAAUGAUCAACAAUCCUAUUAAAUUAGUUAGAGCAACGUUAAAACCCAAAAGAUAGCUAGUUGCGUGCGUAUUUGUUAUGGAAUUUUACUGAAAAAUAUGAGCUCCAAGCUCCGUCCACCAUGUGGUAGCGUGGUUCCCAACACCCGGCUGGCUUGUGGCACAUCCGGCGGGUAAAGGCGUCAUCUGCGGCAUGAAUCCAGCGCACUGCCAAAAGGUACGUCAUGAAUCGGCAUGGAAAUAUACAGGCCUCCGUAGGCGAUUAUUCCAAGAACAUGAGAAUGGCGUUCGAAUUUUCUAAUACACGAGGCCUUACGUUCGAUACUAGGAAGGACGCUACCUAAACAGAUUCGUUUCUGGCAUUAACGUUUUUCCAAUAGGAUUCAAUGUCAACCAGGUACAUCACAUCGAUCAUAGAGAUUCGCCACAAUUCGCCAAGUGUAAUUGAUGAAAGAAAUCACAACGCCGAUUCCCUGUGAGAAGUUUUUCGUUGCAACAGCCGUUGUAAUAGUUCAAAAACGGAGGUGACAGCUUAUUUCCACAGCGUGGUGUGGUUUGGGACAGUGUCGACGAUCCUUCAUUGAACAGCUGUAUUAAAAUAAUGGAGGUCGUCCCGUGAUCAUCGUCUUCUUACCAUCGCGGUUAUUCUGCCCUUCUACGACUGAGAGGACGCUAACUUUUUAUGGGAGAAAAUCAACAGCUUUCAAUAUGGCAUCCGUUUAUGAAAGCGUUCUGACAUCAUUGAGAUAUGAGUGACGACGUCAUCAACGCGUUCGAUGGACCGCCAGUGUGGACCCGCCAGUGUGUGAUAUGCUUCGGUGAUCCUCUUUUAUAUUGUGAUAACUCAUCGCAGGAAUAAAAGAAGCUACGUUUUGUGAACAAUGAAAA